UGUUGCUACUGUAUUGAACAUUAUCACUAAGUCAGAAGCUAUAUCAGCAGGUAUAUCUUCAACGGAUGUAACUCUUAUUAUUAAAUCUUCAACCAUAGAAUUAGCAAUGCAUCCUGUCAGAAAUAUCAGCAAAAACGCGAGGUAGAACAUCUAACCAGACGGUCUUCAACAAUUCUAAUUGUCUGAUACAUUGUCUCAAUGCACGUUCAGUUGACGAAGGUAAUUCAGAAACUUGACCUAGAGCUGCUAAACCUAGUUACAUUUACAGUUUCGAUUGUUAUAAAUUGUCUUUAAAAAUUAUAUUAUUUACAUUGGA